UACGAAGGGGGCUAGCGUUGCUCGGAAUCACUGGGCGUAAAGCGCACGUAGGCGGGUUGUUAAGUCGGGGGUGAAAUCCUGGAGCUCAACUCCAGAACUGCCUUCGAUACUGGCGACCUUGAGUCCGGGAGAGGUGAGUGGAACUCCGAGUGUAGAGGUGAAAUUCGUAGAUAUUCGGAAGAACACCAGUGGCGAAGGCGACUCACUGGCCCGGUACUGACGCUGAGGUGCGAAAGCGUGGGGAGCAAACAGG
rnacentral:rRNA from 1 species